GUGGUCUAGUCCUUAGAACGUCCGCCUCGGAUGCGGGAGGUCGUGGGUUCGAUCCCCGGUCAAGUCA